rnacentral:rRNA from 1 species
UACGGGGGGGGUAAGCGUUGUUCGGAAUUACUGGGCGUAAAGCGUGCGUAGGUGGUUUGUUAAGUCUGAUGUGAAAGCCCUGGGCUCAACCUGGGAAUUGCAUUGGAUACUGGCAGGCUAGAGUGCGGUAGAGGAUGGCGGAAUUCCCGGUGUAGCAGUGAAAUGCGUAGAGAUCGGGAAGAACAUCUGUGGCGAAGGCGGCUUACUGGUCCGGUUCUGACGCUGAGGCGCGAAAGCGUGGGGAGCAAACAGG